GGGAGGUAGUGACAAGAAAUAACAAUACGGGGCUUAAAGUCUUGUAAUUGGAAUGAUGGGAAUUUAAACCUCUUCCAGAGUAUCAAUUGGAGGGCAAGUCUGGUGCCAGCAGCCGCGGUAAUUCCAGCUCCAAUAGCGUAUAUUAAAAUUGUAGCAGUUAAAAAGCUCGUAGUUGAAUUUCUGCUGCAUUGCUUGUGUCCCUCUGGGGUCUGUGCAUGUGGCUUUUUUCGGUCGGAGUUUCUUUGUCCGAAUGUUUACUUUGAGAAAAUUAGAGUGCUCAAAGCAGGCUUUCGCCUUGAAUAGUUUAGCAUGGAAUAAUAAAGUAGGACUUUGGUUCUAUUUUGUUGGUUUUAGGUACCAAAGUAAUGGUUAAUAGGAACAGUUGGGGGCUUUCGUAUUUAACUGUCAGAG
rnacentral:rRNA from 1 species